AUUGAACGCUGGCGGCAUGCCUUACACAUGCAAGUCGAACGGUAGGGGGAGCAAUCCCCUGAGAGUGGCGAAGGGGUGAGUAAAGCACGGGAACUUGCCCAGUUGUGGGGGUUAAUUACUCGAAGGAGUGGCAAAUACCGCAUGCGACCUGAGGUGGAAGGCGGGGGACCGAAAGGCCUCGCGCAGUUGGAGGGGCCGAUGUCAGAUUAGCUAGUUGGGGGGGUAAGGGCCAACCAAGGCGACGAUCUGUAGCUGGUCUGAGAGGACGACCAGCCACACUGGGACUGAGACACGGCCCAGACUCCUACGGGAGGCAGCAGUGGGGAAUUUUGGACAAUGGGCGCAAGCCUGAUCCAGCCAUGCCGCGUGCAGGAAGAAGGCCUUCGGGUUGUAAACUGCUUUUGUCAGGGAAGAAAUCCCUUGGGUUAAUACCUCGGGGGGAUGACGGUACCUGAAGAAUAAGCACCGGCUAACUACGUGCCAGCCGCCGCCGUAACAC
rnacentral:rRNA from 1 species